rnacentral:rRNA from 1 species
UACGUAGGGACCAAGCGUUGUUCGGAUUUACUGGGCGUAAAGGGCGCGUAGGCGGCGCGGUAAGUCGCUUGUGAAAUCUCUGAGCUUAACUCAGAACGGCCAAGUGAUACUGCAGUGCUAGAGUGUGGAAGGGGCAAUCGGAAUUCUUGGUGUAGCGGUGAAAUGCGUAGAUAUCAAGAGGAACACCUGAGGUGAAGACGGGUUGCUGGGCCAACACUGACGCUGAGGCGCGAAAGCCAGGGGAGCAAACGGG